CACUCAUUGAGUGGUUCUAUCACAGGGGGAGAAGGGCAAGAGUAUCGUUGAUAGGAUUUGAUGCAGCUGUGUGCCUUCAUUAAUUAAUAACCAUGGGAAGAAGAGCAAAGGGGAGAGUGGAUACCACAAGACUUAUCUUCAAAUCUGGAUUUUGGAGCGCCAUUAGAACUUGACCACUAAUUUCAAACUACAGCCUUUUAAAGUUCUGAAGUUUGAGGGAACCAGAAGUGGAAGUGUCAAAACUCUCACCAGGAAGCCUGUUACGAGAUGUUCUACCCAAGCUGGCAACCUCAGGUUCCCACUUAUUCUUGAAGUUAUUCUGUCUGAAACUUUCUGUCUGAAACUUUCCCUUCAUUGACAAUUCAACAUCUCUGCACUACAAUCAUCUUCCCUGAUCUACAUUCAACAAACAAAGAAAAGGAACCCAGGCAGAAGAGUAAAGUGAACAGAAAAGAAGGACCAGAUGGUGUGUAUUUAGGG